CAAUAGCGUAUAUUAAAGUUGUUGCAGUUAAAAAGCUCGUAGUUGAAUUUCUGGUGGGCGCGCCGGUCUUCCAAGUGUUGUACUGGGCGCAGUCCGCCAUCCUUGUGGAGAGGGCUCGCAUUGAGUUGCGUGUCGGAUCUGCAUCAUUUACUGUGAAAAAAUUAGAGUGUUUAAAGCAGGCUGUCGCUUGAAUACAUUAGCAUGGAAUAAUAAGAUAGGACUUCGGUCUAUUUUGUUGGUUGCGAACCGAGGUAAUGAUUAAUAGGGAUAGUUGGGGGUAUUCAUAUUUAAUUGUCAGAGGUGAAAUUCUUGGAUUUAUGAAAGAUGAACAACUGCGAAAGCAUUUACCAAGGAUGUUUUCAUUGA
rnacentral:rRNA from 1 species